rnacentral:rRNA from 1 species
AAACCAGCACCUCAAGUGGUCAGGAUGAUUAUUGGGCCUAAAGCAUCCGUAGCCUGCUUUGUAAGUUUUCGGUUAAAUCUGUACGCUUAACGUACAGGCUGUCGGGAAUACUGCAAAGCUAGGGAGUGGGAGAGGUAGACGGUACUCAGGAGGAAGGGGUAAAAUCCUUUGAUCUCUUGAUGACCACCUGUGGCGAAGGCGGUCUACCAGAACACGUCCGACGGUGAGGGAUGAAAGCUGGGGGAGCAAACCGGAUUAGAAACCCGGGUAGUCC